CAAACAGCACAGUGCUUUUAUUUGAAGGCCUGCAACUUCAAAUAGUGUCUCGCAAUUUCGACCCGCAAGCCAAGAUUGUCAACAUGAAUCUGAUUUUCUCUUAUGCACUGAAAUC